AGCGGCGGACGGGUGAGUAACGCGUGGGUAACCUGCCUCAUACAGGGGGAUAACAGUUGGAAACGGCUGCUAAUACCGCAUAAGCGCACAGUACCGCAUGGUACGGUGUGAAAAACUCCGGUGGUAUGAGAUGGACCCGCGUCUGAUUAGGUAGUUGGUGAGGUAACGGCCCACCAAGCCGACGAUCAGUAGCCGACCUGAGAGGGUGACCGGCCACAUUGGGACUGAGACACGGCCCAA
rnacentral:rRNA from 1 species